AAGGGUGACUGCGUACCUUUUGUAUAAUGGGUCAGCGACUUAUAUUUUGUAGCGAGGUUAACCGAAUAGGGGAGCCGAAGGGAAACCGAGUCUUAACUGGGCGUCUAGUUGCAAGGUAUAGACCCGAAACCCGGUGAUCUAGCCAUGGGCAGGUUGAAGGUUGGGUAACACUAACUGGAGGACCGAACCGACUAAUGUUGAAAAAUUAGCGGAUGACUUGUGGCUGGGGGUGAAAGGCCAAUCAAACCGGGAGAUAGCUGGUUCUCCCCGAAAUCUAUUUAGGUAGAGCCUUGAGCGGACACCUUCGGGGGUAGAGCACUGUUUCGGCUAGGGGUCCAUCCCGGAUUACCAACCCGAUGCAAACUACGAAUACCGAAGAGUGAUACUCAGGAGACACACGGCGGGUGCUAACGUCCGUCGUGGAGAGGGAAACAACCCAGACCGCCAGCUAAGGUCCCAAAGUCUAUAUUAAGUGGGAAACGAAGUGGGAAGGCUUAGACAGCUAGGAUGUUGGCUUAGAAGCAGCCAUCAUUUAAAGAAAGCGUAAUAGCUCACUAGUCGAGUCGGCCUGCGCGGAAGAUGUAACGGGGCUCAAAUAUAGCACCGAAGCUGCGGCAUCAGACGAAAGUCUGUUGGGUAGGGGAGCGUUGUGUAAGCGGAUGAAGGUGUGUUGAGAAGCAUGCUGGACGUAUCACAAGUGCGAAUGCUGACAUAAGUAACGAUAAAACGGGUGAAAAACCCGUUCGCCGGAAGACCAAGGGUUCCUGUCCAACGUUAAUCGGGGCAGGGUGAGUCGGCCCCUAAGGCGAGGCUGAAAAGCGUAGUCGAUGGGAAACGGGUUAAUAUUCCCGUACUUGGUAAAGCUGCGAUGUGGGGACGGAGCAGGUUAGGUUAGCGUGCUGUUGGAUAUGCACGUUUAAGUUGGUAGGUGGGGAGUUUAGGCAAAUCCGGACUUCCUUAACACUGAGAGAUGAUGACGAGGCUCUACGGAGCUGAAGUAACCGAUACCACACUUCCAGGAAAAGCCACUAAGCGAAAGGCUUUACUAAACCGUACUGAAAACCGACACAGGUGGUCAGGUAGAGAAUACUCAGGCGCUUGAGAGAACUCGGGUGAAGGAACUAGGCAAAAUAGCACCGUAACUUCGGGAGAAGGUGCGCCGGCGUAGAUUGUAGUCCCUCGCGGGCGAAGGUUGAACCGGUCGAAGAUACCAGCUGGCUGCAACUGUUUAUUAAAAACACAGCACUCUGCAAACACGAAAGUGGACGUAUAGGGUGUGAUGCCUGCCCGGUGCUGGAAGGUUAAUUGAUGGUGUAAUCGAAAGAGAAGCUCCUGAUCGAAGCCCCAGUAAACGGCGGCCGUAACUAUAACGGUCCUAAGGUAGCGAAAUUCCUUGUCGGGUAAGUUCCGACCUGCACGAAUGGCAUAAUGAUGGCCAGGCUGUCUCCACCCGAGACUCAGUGAAAUUGAAAUCGCCGUGAAGAUGCGGUGUACCCGCGGCUAGACGGAAAGACCCCGUGAACCUUUACUAUAGCUUGACACUGAACAUUGAAUUUUGAUGUGUAGGAUAGGUGGGAGACUAUGAAGAUGAUACGCCAGUAUUGUUGGAGUCGUCCUUGAAAUACCACCCUUUAACGUUUGAUGUUCUAACGAAGAUUACGAAACGUGGUCUCGGACAGUGUCUGGUGGGUAGUUUGACUGGGGCGGUCUCCUCCCAAAGAGUAACGGAGGAGCACGAAGGUUUGCUAAUCACGGUCGGACAUCGUGAGGUUAGUGCAAUGGUAUAAGCAAGCUUAACUGCGAGACAGACAAGUCGAGCAGGUACGAAAGUAGGUCAUAGUGAUCCGGUGGUUCUGCAUGGAAGGGCCAUCGCUCAACGGAUAAAAGGUACUCCGGGGAUAACAGGCUGAUACCGCCCAAGAGUUCAUAUCGACGGCGGUGUUUGGCACCUCGAUGUCGGCUCAUCACAUCCUGGGGCUGAAGUAGGUCCCAAGGGUAUGGCUGUUCGCCAUUUAAAGUGGUACGCGAGCUGGGUUUAGAACGUCGUGAGACAGUUCGGUCCCUAUCUGCCGUGGGCGUUGGAGAAUUGAUUGGGGCUGCUCCUAGUACGAGAGGACCGGAGUGGACGCACCACUGGUGUUCCGGUUGUGUCGCCAGACGCAUUGCCGGGUAGCUAAGUGCGGAAGAGAUAAGUGCUGAAAGCAUCUAAGCACGAAACUUGCCAAGAGAUGAGUUCUCCCAGAUUAUAAAUCUGUAAGGGUUGU
rnacentral:rRNA from 1 species